ACGGAAGGCAGCAGUGGGGAAUAUUGCACAAUGGGCGAAAGCCUGAUGCAGCGACGCCGCGUGAGUGAAGAAGUAUUUCGGUAUGUAAAGCUCUAUCAGCAGGGAAGAAAAUGACGGUACCUGACUAAGAAGCCCCGGCUAACUACGUGCCAGCAGCCGUGGUAAUACGUAGGGGGCAAGCGUUAUCCGGAUUUACUGGGUGUAAAGGGCGCGUAGGCGGGAUAGCAAGUCAGAUGUGAAAUCUAUGGGCUUAACCCAUAAACUGCAUUUGAAACUGUUAUUCUUGAGUGUCGGAGAGGUAGACGGAAUUCCUAGUGUAGCGGUGAAAUGCGUAGAUAUUAGGAAGAACACCGGUGGCGAAGGCGGUCUACUGGACGAUAACUGACGCUGAGGCGCGAAAGCGUGGGGAGCAAACAGGAUUAGAUACCCUGGUA
rnacentral:rRNA from 1 species